rnacentral:rRNA from 1 species
UUGAACGCUGGCGGCAGGCCUAACACCUGCAAGUCGCACGGUAACAGGAAGAAGCUUGCUUCUUUGCUGACGAGUGGCGGACGGGUGAGUAAUGUCUGGGAAACUGCCUGAUGGAGGGGGAUAACUACUGGAAACGGUAGCUAAUACCGCAUAACGUCGCAAGACCAAAGAGGGGGACCUUCGGGCCUCUUGCCAUCGGAUGUGCCCAGAUGGGAUUAGCUAGUAGGUGGGGUAACGGCUCACCUAGGCGACGAUCCCUAGCUGGUCUGAGAGGAUGACCAGCCACACUGGAACUGAGACACGGUCCAGACUCCUACGGGAGGCAGCAGUGGGGAAUAUUGCACAAUGGGCGCAAGCCUGAUGCAGCCAUGCCGCGUGUAUGAAGAAGGCCUUCGGGUUGUAAAGUACUUUCAGCGGGGAGGAAGGGAGUAAAGUUAAUACCUUUGCUCAUUGACGUUACCCGCAGAAGAAGCACCGGCUAACUCCGUG